CACUGACGUCAUGUUUACCGUCAACAGACACGAGACCGAACCGUGACUUAAAGAAACGACACGGUGAUUUAUGUUCAGCUCAGACCGACACGAGUUACCGACGAGAUCCGUGGACACCGAUUUCUGCAGGUAAACAACAUGGAGACCUGCAGCUUUCAAAUAGCGCUCCGUCAAAUCUGAUUGGACACAGCUUCGGGAGGACGCUCCUGAUUGGCUGAAAAACAGAUGAGGUCAGAGAUAAACAACAAAGGAAAUAGAGGACUUCUCAAGCACAACUGUGAAGAUCCUCCAGGAGCUGGAAAGUGUCGCUGGGGAGAGGGACGUUUGGAUGGAUGGAUGGAUUGCUGCACACCUGAAGAAAUAUAUAAUGUCAGAAAAACCUUCAACCUUUCAGAAAAUUUGGGACCCUUCUUCAGAUUUAUUCAACAACAGGGAUGUGACUCUUCCGUAACUAUAACUUAAACUUUAACCUUUAUGUUGAUUUGUUAUAAAGUCUGUCAUAUUCAUAUAAAUGACAGAAAAUGGAAUGAAAAUGAUCCAUUUCCUGAGUUUAUUAACACGUUUGUACAUCAAAAUGUCCCUUAGGUUUAGUUUUAGUACAUCCUCUGUCUCUCUCUCUCUAUAUAAGGAAUAGUUACAGUCUCUUUUCUUUUGUUUUUGGAUGAGUGUUUUUGUAUUUUUACGUUUUCUUUUUUGAAAUAAUGUUUUCAAAUGCACAAAAGGAGACCUGACACAUUUGACACUGCACCUGCACUGUAAUUUGAGCAUCUGUUGAAAAAACAAAAAACAAAUCUUUGAUGAAAAAGAAAAGAUUUCCUUAUUGUCUUAUCUAUGUUGCUGUUAUCCAAUGUCAAGUCUCCAUUUGAUCAUGUGACAAGAUGAUAAGAUUACACAGUAACUAGUUUAGGUGCAUAAACAGUAACUAACGUGCACUUGGGUCCAUUUUAACGGCCUGACGCCACUGUUUGAAGCCAAUAUCAUGGUUUUUACUUCUUUGCAUUCUUUCAGGAAAAGUUACUUUGCAGAUUCAGAUUAUUUGAAAUAUAAACCUAAUUAAUUCUGAUGUAUUAUUGUGCAUUAAACUAUCCAGCAGCACAUAAAGUCAUCAGAGUUACACCUUUACCAGCUUCGUGUGAUGAAAACAUUGAUGCACAAUUGGAAUCCAGUAAUAAACAUUGUUCUGAGAUGGGCCAUUCUGCAUGAUGAGUACUUUUAUUUUUCUACAUCAAGUAUAUCUUUGUGCCAAUGCUUAGGAUUUUAAAUGCAGCACUUUAACUAGUUAAUAGAGGGAGGAAGGGAACAGCAGCCAUGCUGAUGGUGCUGCUGGUCGCCAUCUGUGACUGUAAACUUCCAAAGAACAAAGAAUGUUCUUGUUCCAGGGUGGACGGUAAACACCUGCGAGAUCAGGAUAAACAUUAAAGAUUCAAACAGCUGCCAGAUAUCAGGUCAAAAAACAACAUUUGUAUUUACCCCCUUUGGUUGAUACUGAACAGUAUUUGUGCUGACUGUUCUUUCUUCAUCAGCUUAACGUCUGUUCAGUGCUGAUCAGGUGGUGUACCAGUGAUUUACUGGAGCUUAUUUGUUUGUGUGAAAACAGCUGUCAGCUGCAUCUGGAACACUGAUUACAGUGAAUCAAAACAGUUAAGUUGUGAGCCAUAAAACCAAAACAAGAGCUGAAAGACACUAAAAUAAUCUGUGGCAGUGUGGUCACCAGAGGAAUGUGUUGGCAUUGUACAGUUCUGCAAACCACGAAUAUGUUGCCUUUGCAGGUUUAAUACAAAUCAUUUCAACAUUUCCAAAGUUAAACAGUAUGUGAGCUGACUUUGUCAUCACUGCAGGCCACAGUUUGACGCCUCGUUUCCACUGACACGUGACUGGUGUCCGUAGAUCCGUAAAUAUGCAGACGAUGUUUCUACUUUCCAACACAAGGAAGUGCAUUUCUUUACAGAUGGAUAGAAACCUGAUAGAAACUACCUGUAGCCAUGGGGGAGAGGUGGCCCACUCCUUCGCUUCACUAGGUUUCGCAAAUUCACCACCUGGAAUAUGCUAAGUGUUCACUGUCCAGAUGUGAAUUUUGAGAAUCUUAGGGAAGCAGAGAAAUGGCCCACCUUACUCUGGCUCUGAACUGCUUACCCUGACAACAUUACCCUGACCCUAACCGAUCCCACUCCUCUUGCUUAAACCUAACCAAUCCAACCAACGACAGCACCGAGUAAUAGCCAAUCAAGCGAAGCCAAGCCAAGUGUGGGGCAGAUUACUCCCUUGGUAUCCUAUGAUUCGCAAAUUCGGGUCCAGACAGUGAACACUUACCGUAGUCCAGACAGUGAAUUUGCAAAUCCUAAGGUAGCGAAGGAAUGGCCCGCCUUACUCUGCCUCAAAUUGGCUUCUCCUA